rnacentral:rRNA from 1 species
GUCCUUUAGAUUAUAAUUUAAGGUCUAACCUGCCCAAUGAGUUUUAAAUGGCCGCAGUAUUUUAACUGUGCAAAGGUAGCAUAAUCAUUAGUUUCUUAAUUAGAAGCUUGUAUGAAUGGUUGGACGAGAAAUUAACUGUCUCUAUUUAUUGAUUAAAAUUUUAUUUUUAAGUUAAAAAGCUUAAAUAAAUUUAAAAGACGAGAAGACCCUAUAGAGUUUUAUAAUUAAUAAAAUUUUAUUUAUAGAAUUAUAAGUAUUUUUAAGAUUAUUUUAUUGGGGUGAUAUAUAAAUUUAAUUAACUUUAUAUUAUUUUUUACAUUAAUAUAUGAAUUAUUGAUCCAUAAUUUAUGAUUAGAAGAAAAAAUUACCUUAGGGAUAACAGCGUUAUUUUUUUUUAGAGUUCUAAUCGAAAAAAAAGAUUGCGACCUCGAUGUUGGAUUAAAGUUAAUUUUUGGUGUAGUAGCUAGAAUAUUAGGUCUGUUCGACCUUUAAAACUUUACAUGAUCUGAGUUUAAACCGGUGUGAGCCAGGUUGGUUUCUAUCUUUAAAAAAAUAAAAUAUUUUAGUACGAAAGGACCAAUUAUUUUUAAAAUUUAAUGUUUUUUGAAUA